rnacentral:sRNA from 1 species
AUCCAGCGGAAACAUGGUACUCGAAAGUGGUGCCGAUCGCUUGGUCCAUCAUAGAUCCGAUACUGGCUCUUAAUCGUCCUAUGAACGAUAUACCAGAGUUACUUGUGCCAGCAUCAAAUGUCCCAAUCCCGGCUAAUAAAACAGAAUGUACAUCAGCUCUUAGUUAUUCUUGGGGACCAAACGAAGGAAAUUAAUGGAAUUGGUACUUGUCAAAACGAUUCAACAUAUCAUAUAUUUUGACGACAUUUGUAUCUGACUCGUUCGCUUGAAAGCUGUUCCCAGUGCCGUCGAAGCAAAGGACAAGCCGGCGAGGUACAUCACUUCGAUUCUCACGAUUUGUGCUAAACGGAAUCAUAAUUGAAAUUGGUUAUGAGGGGAAACGACAAGGGAAACUCGACUAACAGUGAAUGAAACGAAAAUGAUGAAUGGAAAUUUGAGCAGGUGAAACGGGAGAUAUUCCUCGGAUUCGGGUGGCGAAUAUCACGAACCUUUC